rnacentral:piRNA from 1 species
AUUAAGUUUGUGGACUUUUGUGGGAAGUA